AUUAUUAGUGUGGGACGUUUAAUAAGGCGUAAUGGUGAAUAAAGGGACUAUACUGAUGCAGAAAUAUGAAGUGGGGAGAUUGCUAGGGCAGGGAACCUUUGCCAAGGUCUAUUAUGCUAGGAAUCUCGAGACUACUCAGAGCGUUGCUAUAAAGGUGAUUGACAAGGAGAAGGUUCUCAGAGUGGGGCUCAUCGAUCAGAUCAAACGGGAGAUCUCAGUGAU
rnacentral:misc_RNA from 1 species